rnacentral:tRNA from 1 species
GCUCAGUUGGUUAAGUGUCCAACUUUUGGUUUCGGCUCAGGUCAUGGCCUCACAGUUUUGUGGGUUCAAGUCCCACAUCGAGCU